rnacentral:lncRNA from 1 species
CUUGUGUUCAACUUUAUCUCUCUCCCUUCCCACAGGGUAGAAUGUGGUCAUGGUAGAGGUGAAUUACCAUCUGGGUGGUUAAGAUGACUAUGACGUGGUGUUUAAGAACAUUUGGUGUCAGGAUUUAACCCUGGAUAGGGGAGGGGACAAUAACAAGUCAGAAGAAAGCUAUCUUGGUUGACCUCAUGAGAUGGAACUGCCUAGCUGCCUUGGACCACCUGCCUGCUCCUGGACGGUUAUGAUGACGCAGUUUUGAUGGAAGCUGGACACCAGCCAUCCACUUUCUGCAAGGAGAAUGCAUUAGCCACAAUCCAUCACACUGGUUUGCUGACUCAAAAUCUCUUGUGAUGAACACUGAAAUUAAGAUUGGCAUCCUGGUGCCCUGGUGGCAGGGACCACCUAAAAAGAGAAGGAAACCAGGACAUGGUUAGCCAAACUCAAUGACUGGUGAGACUGUGGAUUCAAAAGCGGCUGCAAGGAAGGACACUGCUCUUUAUCAAGUGCCUACAGACUGCCAAGCAUUGUGCUAGUGGCUUCAGAUUUGAUCCUGACCAUAACCCACGA